GGGACAAAGAGUCACAGGGAAGUUUUCCUUUCUGGUAUAAUCAGUAACUCAAAGGGAGACUAUCAUCUUCUAAGUCUGUAGUUCUGGAACCUUUUUUUCCCUUCUGCCCCAGCCUAGCUGAGAAAUCCGCACACUCUCAUCGGGUGGUCCCCGCGCCCUCCGGCCCCCCGUGACAUUCUCAAGGGGGAAUCACUACUCGACAUAUGGGAUGGAUUACUACGCCCUGAACACAUUUCAGUGACCUCUUCAAUCGCCUAAACGCUUCCUGCACCUUCCUUACAACCGUCAUCUGGAUCACCUGCCCCUCUCUUUCGUUUCCUGACCUUACGCUUAUUUCCAAUAUCAAAAUAGUCCUAUUCCAUGUCGCUACAGGUUUCCUAAAACAGGUGGUGAACCCCGGCUCCGCGUUAAGCAAGCCUGGACCACUUCACAAAAGGAGCCCAGGGCAAGUGAAGACGAGAGGGUCUUAAAAAAUAACAACAGAAACCACCACCUAAAUUUCAGCCCCUCUGUCAAAUGUGACUCUGGGUUAAGUUACUUCCCCCGUCUCCAUGUGCUCCUCGUUAUGAACAGCUACGCGCGGGGUUGCGGCGUUGAUUAUUACCACAGUGUCGGGCACACGGAGACCGCUCUUAAGCAGCAAUUACUACCACUACUCUGACCGACCCCCACGUGAAAGUAACUAGGGUAACUCAAGUGGCGCGCACAAGGCCAACCAGGGACGGGAAAACGGAUUCGGUGGGGCUAAUCACGGCAGCCCGCUCCAGGACGCGGGCGAGAGCUCUGAACGCGCAAAAUUGCUUAUCUGCUUCAAGGCUGCUUUUUUAAAGCAAGGAUAACAUAACAGAACCUGUCUCGUGGAGCUGUUGUGAGGAGUAAAUGAAGUUCAGCAUUUAACAGAGCCCGGCACACAGGACACAUUCUUUCGAACUGUUACUAUAUUCGCUGUCUCUUGAAUUUGCUGAGCCCAGGAACUGUCCCCAAAAUACACAAAUCAAGACACUGA